rnacentral:rRNA from 1 species
CGAAUGCUGACAUAAGUAACGAUAAAGCGGGUGAAAAGCCCGCUCGCCGGAAGACCAAGGGUUCCUGUCCAACGUUAAUCGGGGCAGGGUGAGUCGACCCCUAAGGCGAGGCCGAAAGGCGUAGUCGAUGGGAAACAGGUUAAUAUUCCUGUACUUGGUGUUACUGCGAAGGGGGGACGGAGAAGGCUAUGUUGGCCGGGCGACGGUUGUCCCGGUUUAAGCGUGUAGGCUGGUUUUCCAGGCAAAUCCGGAAAAUCAAGGCUGAGGCGUGAUGACGAGGCACUACGGUGCUGAAGCAACAAAUGCCCUGCUUCCAGGAAAAGCCUCUAAGCAUCAGGUAACAUCAAAUCGUACCCCAAACCGACACAGGUGGUCAGGUAGAGAAUACCAAGGCGCUUGAGAGAACUCGGGUGAAGGAACUAGGCAAAAUGGUGCCGUAACUUCGGGAGAAGGCACGCUGAUAUGUAGGUGAAGUCCCUCGCGGAUGGAGCUGAAAUCAGUCGAAGAUACCAGCUGGCUGCAACUGUUUAUUAAAAACACAGCACUGUGCAAACACGAAAGUGGACGUAUACGGUGUGACGCCUGCCCGGUGCCGGAAGGUUAAUUGAUGGGGUCAGCGCAAGCGAAGCUCUUGAUCGAAGCCCCGGUAAACGGCGGCCGUAACUAUAACGGUCCUAAGGUAGCGAAAUUCCUUGUCGGGUAAGUUCCGACCUGCACGAAUGGCGUAAUGAUGGCCAGGCUGUCUCCACCCGAGACUCAGUGAAAUUGAACUCGCUGUGAAGAUGCAGUGUACCCGCGGCAAGACGGAAAGACCCCGUGAACCUUUACUAUAGCUUGACACUGAACAUUGAGCCUUGAUGUGUAGGAUAGGUGGGAGGCUUUGAAGUGUGGACGCCAGUCUGCAUGGAGCCGACCUUGAAAUACCACCCUUUAAUGUUUGAUGUUCUAACGUUGACCCGUGAUCCGGGUUGCGGACAGUGUCUGGUGGGUAGUUUGACUGGGGCGGUCUCCUCCUAAAGAGUAACGGAGGAGCACGAAGGUUGGCUAAUCCUGGUCGGACAUCAGGAGGUUAGUGCAAUGGCAUAAGCCAGCUUGACUGCGAGCGUGACGGCGCGAGCAGGUGCGAAAGCAGGUCAUAGUGAUCCGGUGGUUCUGAAUGGAAGGGCCAUCGCUCAACGGAUAAAAGGUACUCCGGGGAUAACAGGCUGAUACCGCCCAAGAGUUCAUAUCGACGGCGGUGUUUGGCACCUCGAUGUCGGCUCAUCACAUCCUGGGGCUGAAGUAGGUCCCAAGGGUAUGGCUGUUCGCCAUUUAAAGUGGUACGCGAGCUGGGUUUAGAACGUCGUGAGACAGUUCGGUCCCUAUCUGCCGUGGGCGCUGGAGAACUGAGGGGGGCUGCUCCUAGUACGAGAGGACCGGAGUGGACGCAUCACUGGUGUUCGGGUUGUCAUGCCAAUGGCACUGCCCGGUAGCUAAAUGCGGAAGAGAUAAGUGCUGAAAGCAUCUAAGCACGAAACUUGCCCCGAGAUGAGUUCUCCCUGACCCUUUAAGGGUCCUGAAGGAACGUUGAAGACGACGACGUUGAUAGGCCGGGUGUGUAAGCGCAGCGAUGCGUUGAGCUAACCGGUACUAAUGAACCGUGAGGCUUAACCUUACAACGCCGAAG